UACGUAGGAGGCGAGCGUUGUCCGGAGUUACUGGGCGUAAAGGGUGCGCAGGCGGCCGCGCGCGUGGAUGGUGAAAUCUCCCGGCUCAACUGGGAGGGGCCUGUUCAGACGGCGUGGCUUGAGGCUCGGGAGGGGGGGCGUGGAAUUCCGGGUGGAGCGGUGAAAUGCGUAGAGAUCCGGAGGAACACCGGUGGCGAAGGCGGCGACCUGGUCCUUGACUGACGCUGAGGCGCGAAAGCGUGGGGAGCAAACAGG
rnacentral:rRNA from 1 species